GGGUGCUGUUCCCUGGCAACACCAUAGACUACACUAUGCACAACCAAAGGCUCUUCAAAGAGGGUGCUGUUCCCUGGCAACACCAUAGACUACACUAUGCACAACCAAAGGCUCUUUUAAGAGCCAUUCACAUUGCAAUAAGAGUAUUCUUCCAUUUACUUAGCUAUGUCAACUGCAGUUGUUCAAUUCACAGUUUCUCUCCCUUUAACUGUGGCUCCUUCCACCUUCAAAGAAUAGGCAAGAGGGCCAACCAUGGAGAAUAGUAAGACACUUCAUUAUUUCUAUAACUACGCUAUAUUGUUUGUCCUUGUGUGUUCGUUCAUGUUUUUCAGCAUAAAGUACUCUGCAGCCACUUAGUGUGGUGUGGACACCAGGUGAGGCCACACACAGAUUCCUGUUGAACACUGUGGCUUUAACUACCUUAUUUUCUCAAUAACAGUCUCUCUCCUCCACUUCAUCCCUCUCUCCCCUUCUCCCUAAGUCCUCUAGGUUAUAUCAGCUGUGUCGGUGAACCCCUCCUGCAUCUGAACUGGCUACAUAGAGGACACAGCAUGAUCAGAGGUGAGAGGUCACUUGGUCAGAUAUGUUUUGAUGUGAGAGGAUGCCAACCCCCAGUCCCAUCAUCGCCACCUCACCUGCUUUUAAGAUAACCUUUGGGCCGACUAGAGACACUAUUAUGUAAUGGUGAUGAACUGAGAGAAUAUUUAUGUAGCACUGUGAUUCAUUAAUCAUGUGCUGCCUUCCCUGCUCCUAUGUGCUUACCUCUUUCCCUUUCUGUCUUUUACACCUCUCUCUCCACCUCCUCUUUCUUCCUCUGUUUUUAUAAUUCACAACAGAUUGAAGGACAGAUUGAACUUGUAUUUAUAACACUUGGAUAAUGAGCUUUUCAAUAAAGCGUUUCACAUUCUCUACUGGUUGAAAUGAAGUGUAAUGUGAUGAAAUACUCCACCUAUCCUGUGUUUAUCAGAUCAAUGCAGAUGAAGGGCAUUAGAUGUUGAGAUGAACCGGUGUUGGAGUAUUUACAUGAUGCAUAGGAAGUGUAGUGUUCUGGUUUUUAACAUUAUAUUUCUGUAUAUAUGAAUUAACUAGUUAAAUCCUGUUUCUAGUCUAUUAGUUACAAUGUGUAACCAUUGAUGUCCCAGGACCAAGAUUGAUAAACACUGUUGAAGUGUAUAAUUGUAAUUCAUACAUGCAGACACAGUGUCAUUCAAAGACUGGAAUUUGAUACUCCUGGUAUUGGAUAUGACUGAAUAAUCAUCUCAAAGACAUUCAUACCUAAACUGCACCUUUAUUUGCCAAGGUAGAGUACAUGAUCAGUGAAUAUAUUAAAUGUACAGGCUACAAUGUGGGGAUCUCAUGCAUGGUAAUAACUA